rnacentral:rRNA from 1 species
GACGUAGGGCGCGAGCGUUGUCCGGAUUUAUUGGGCGUAAAGAGCUCGUAGGCGGCUUGUCGCGUCGACCGUGAAAACUCGCAGCUCAACUGCGAGCCUGCGGUCGAUACGGGCAGGCUAGAGUUCGGUAGGGGAGACUGGAAUUCCUGGUGUAGCGGUGAAAUGCGCAGAUAUCAGGAGGAACACCGAUGGCGAAGGCAGGUCUCUGGGCCGAUACUGACGCUGAGGAGCGAAAGCGUGGGGAGCGAACGGG